AUAUAACUAGGCGGAGGAAAAGAAACUAACAAGGAUUCCCUCAGUAACUGCGAGUGAAGCGGGAAGAGCUCAGACUGAAAAUCUUCGGAGUUGUAGUCUGUCGAGGUUAAGUCAGUGAGGGUGCUCGAGCGAAGUGUUGUUGAAUCAACUGCCGAGGAGGGUGAAAGCCCCGUGUGUGCUUGAGUGUCCUUACGUACGACUGGCCUUCUACGAGUCGAGUUGUUUGGGAUUGCAGCUCUAAGUGGGUGGUAAAUUCCAUCUAAAGCUAAAUAUGGGUGGGAGACCGAUAGCGCACAAGUA
rnacentral:rRNA from 1 species